rnacentral:rRNA from 1 species
CGCACUGGGACUGAGACACUGCCCAGACUCCUAACGGGAGGCUGCAGUCGAGAAUCUUCCGCAAUGGGCGAAAGCCUGACGGAGCGACGCCGCGUGGAGGACGAAGGCCCUUGGGGUUGUAAACUCCUGUCACGAGUUAAGAACGGGUCAUCACGAACAGUGGUGAUCUUUGACGUAAGCUCGAGAGGAAGCACUGGCUAACUCUGUGCCAGCAGCCGCGGUAAUACAGAGAGUGCAAAACGUUGUUCGGAAUUACUGGGCUUGAAGCGCACGUAGGCGGCAUCGCAAGUGUGGGGUGAAAUCCCACGGCUUACCCGUGGAACUGCCUGGCAGACUGCGGUGCUAGAGUGUGGUAGGGGGAGAGCGGAACUCCUGGUGGAGCGGUGAAAUGCGUAGAUAUCAGGAGGAACACCGGUGGCGAAGGCGGCUCUCUGGUCCAUAACUGACGCUGAGGUGCGAAAGCUAGGGGAGCAAACGGGAUUAGAUACCCGGUAGUCCUAGCUGUAAACGA